GCUGUGGAGGACUAGUGGUUAAGUCACAGCGCUCUCACCGCUAUGGCCCAGGUUCGAUUCCCGGCCAGGGGA
rnacentral:tRNA from 1 species